AUUGAACGCUGGCGGCAUGCCUAACACAUGCAAGUCGAACGGGGGUAGCAAUACCCUAGUGGCGGACGGGUGAGGAAUACGUAGGAAUUUGCCCUUAAGUGGGGGAUAGCCCGGGGAAACCCGGAUUAAUACCGCAUGACCUCGUGAGAGCAAAGCAGGGGAUCGCAAGGCCUUGCGCUGUUGGAGAAGCCUACGUCGGAUUAGCUAGUUGGUAGGGUAAUGGCCUACCAAGGAAACGAUCCGUAACUGGUCUGAGAGGAUGAUCAGUCACACCGGAACUGAGACACGGUCCGGACUCCUACGGGAGGCAGCAGUGGGGAAUAUUGGACAAUGGGCGAAAGCCUGAUCCAGCAAUGCCGCGUGUGUGAAGAAGGCCUUCGGGUUGUAAAGCACUUUAGGUUGGGAAGAAAAAACUCGGGCUAAUACCCUGAGUCUUGACGGUACCGACAGAAUAAGCACCGGCUAACUCUGUGCCAGCAGCCGCGGUAACAC
rnacentral:rRNA from 1 species